rnacentral:rRNA from 1 species
GUGCCAGCCGCCGCGGUAAUACGUAGGGCGCGAGCGUUGUCCGGAAUUAUUGGGCGUAAAGGGCUUGUAGGCGGCUUGUCGCGUCUGCCGUGAAAUCCUCUGGCUUAACUGGGGGCGUGCGGUGGGUACGGGCUGGCUUGAGUGCGGUAGGGGAGACUGGAAUUCCUGGUGUAGCGGUGGAAUGCGCAGAUAUCAGGAGGAACACCGGUGGCGAAGGCGGGUCUCUGGGCCGUUACUGACGCUGAGGAGCGAAAGCAUGGGGAGCGAACAGGAUUAGAUACCCUGGUAGUCCAUGCUGUAAACGUUGGGCACUAGGUGUGGGGCCGUCCUUGGUUUCUGCGCCGUAGCUAACGCUUUAAGUGCCCCGCCUGGGGAGUACGGCCGCAAGGCUAAAACUCAAAGGAAUUGACGGGGGCCCGCACAAGCGGCGGAGCAUGCGGAUUAAUUCGAUGCAACGCGAAGAACCUUACCAAGGCUUGACAUGCACCGCGACACUGCAGAGAUGUGGUGGCCUUCGGGGUGUGUGCAGGUGG